CCUACGGGGGGCAGCAGUGAGGAAUAUUGGUCAAUGGACGAGAGUCUGAACCAGCCAAGUAGCGUGAAGGAUGACUGCCCUAUGGGUUGUAAACUUCUUUUAUAUGGGAGUAAAAUGUUCCACGUGUGGGAUUUUGUAUGUACCAUAUGAAUAAGGAUCGGCUAACUCCGUUCCAGCAGCCGCGGUAAUACGGAGGAUCCGAGCGUUAUCCGGAUUUAUUGGGUUUAAAGGGAGCGUAGGUGGAUUGUUAAGUCCGUUGUGAAAGUUUGCGGCUCAACCGUAAAAUUGCAGUUGAAACUGGCAGUCUUGAGUACAGUAGAGGUGGGCGGAAUUCGUGGUGUAGCGGUGAAAUGCUUAGAUAUCACGAAGAACUCCGAUUGCGAAGGCAGUUCACUGGACUGCAACUGACACUGAGGCUCGAAAGUGUGGGUAUCAAACAGGAUUAGAUACCCUUGUAGUC
rnacentral:rRNA from 1 species